rnacentral:rRNA from 1 species
AUUGAACGCUGGCGGCAGGCUUAACACAUGCAAGUCGAGCGGGGAAAGGUAGCUUGCUACCUGACCUAGCGGCGGACGGGUGAGUAAUGCUUAGGAAUCUGCCUAUUAGUGGGGGACAACAUUCCGAAAGGAAUGCUAAUACCGCAUACGCCCUACGGGGAAAAGCAGGGGAUCCUCGGACCUUGCGCUAAUAGAUGAGCCUAAGUCAGAUUAGCUAGUUGGUGGGGUAAAGGCCUACCAAGGCGACGAUCUGUAGCGGGUCUGAGAGGAUGAUCCGCCACACUGGGACUGAGACACGGCCCAGACUCCUACGGGAGGCAGCAGUGGGGAAUAUUGGACAAUGGGCGAAAGCCUGAUCCAGCCAUGCCGCGUGUGUGAAGAAGGCCUUUUGGUUGUAAAGCACUUUAAGCGAGGAGGAGGCUACUUGGAUUAAUACUCUAGGAUAGUGGACGUUACUCGCAGAAUAAGCACCGGCUAACUCUGUGCCAGCAGCCGCCGUAAAAC